UACGAAGGGUGCAAGCGUUAAUCGGAAUUACUGGGCGUAAAGGGUGCGUAGGCGGUUGUUUAAGUCUGUCGUGAAAUCCCCGGGCUCAACCUGGGAAUGGCGAUGGAUACUGGGCAGCUAGAGUGUGUCAGAGGAUGGUGGAAUUCCCGGUGUAGCGGUGAAAUGCGUAGAGAUCGGGAGGAACAUCAGUGGCGAAGGCGGCCAUCUGGGGCAACACUGACGCUGAAGCACGAAAGCGUGGGGAGCAAACAGG
rnacentral:rRNA from 1 species